AUGUCAUGAUGUGGACACUUUCUAAGCAAGUCAUUUAAGCGCUCCCAUGCCUCAUGAAACAUUUCCCCUUCCCCUUAAGAAAAUUCUCGAAUUUAAGUUCUCAUUGC